rnacentral:tmRNA from 1 species
GGGGGUGAAACGGCUUCGACGGGGAUAUAUAAGCUCGGGCUGCAUGUCGAGAAUUCUACAACUCUCGUAAAAAACUGUAGAACUUUAAAAUAGUCGCAGAUGACUAUUCAUAUGCUGUGGCAGCAUAAAUAAGCCACUGCUCUCCCUUGUUAUUCCUGCGGACUUGGGUUGGGCAUCGACUAGCGGGAUAGCUUACGGAUUCUUUGGUGGUCCUGAUAGCGAAACUUUACACCAGAUAGUGCUAACAGUACCUAGUCCUGGUGGUACCAAGGCACGAUAAGAACUUAAGCAGGAAUAAACAUGUAGACGCCUGAAGGGGAGUAUUUUCGGACCCGGGUUCAACUCCCGGCACCUCCACCA